GUUCUCCUUCAAUAGUUCAAAUAAUCAUGGGGAUUUUAUAGAAAUAAACAGACAAGAAUCAUGGAGAGUGAGAUCAGAAUGGCUUUUGAAGAGUACUCACACUCAUGUGACCCAUUUAAGUACUAAACAGAUCAUGGCCAGAUAUGAAGAGGAAAUGGAUCUCAGUUUUGGUUGCCUUGGAUUUCAUUAGCCUGUCCACAUGCCCUUGCUGCUAAUUUUGCAAAAACAAAGAGCAACCCUUGCAUUCUUCUGCUCAUUGUGGCAUUAUUUCUCUUUGUGUGAGCAUCACUACAGCAUCUAGCCAAACAAUUGCUUCUAGGAUCUGGGUGGGUGCUCAGUGAAAGAGCUCAAAGCCCAUGUCAUCAUCAGAUUCUUCUGAUAGAAAAAGGUGCACCUCCCUCCAACCCCAGGAAGCCAGCUUACUGCUCACUAGCAGAUCAUGGUCCUCAAUGCUUUUACUGCUGAACUUGUGGAUGACCUUGAGAUGCUCCUCAUCUACCUCGAUUCCAAGGCUCUGUCUAGGAUCUUCUUCAGGUCCUUGGCUUUGGGGAAGUCAUUGCUGCCAAGGACAGCCAAAAGUUUCAGAUUUCAUGGAUUGUUUUCAGAAGGAUUAUUGAAGAAAAAUGAGGUGUCACACACAUACAGAGAAAAUAUAUGGCAUCUCUGGGUUCAAGGUCAGAAAUUCCAGACAAAUCAUCUACUCAUCUCUGUGGUGACUGUACAGUUCACUCCCAGCCCAUGGAAUACUGAAUCCUUCAGUGCACACAGAUCAAUUCAGAACCUUCAUUCAACUAAUAAACUGAAAAUGAGGGGUACUACUAGACUCAGUGAUCCAUUCAGAGAGGCACGUUGGCCCAAGUAGAUAGAGCAGUGGACAUUGACUGAGGGAGACCUGAAUUCAUACCUUAUCUCAUAGAUUUCCUAGAUCUAUGAUCCUGAACAUUAAUUGAUUUAUCUGAAUCCCAGUUCUUACUUCUAUUAAUUAGGAUGAUCAUAUCACCUGCUUCAUCAGGCUGUUGGGGAAAGCAAUCAAAAGCAUGUAGGUACAGGAUGUUGCAAAUCUUAAAGUGAUUAUACAUAUAUAUAUGCAUU
rnacentral:lncRNA from 1 species